CUUAAAAUAAAAUCACGAGGGGAGAGAGCGCCACCUACCUACCCACCCAGAGAGAGCAUGACCCAGAUCUCAAUCUUGGACAACAGUGUUAAAAUCAACAUCAUGGACAUCUUGUGAGUCUUACCCCUCAGGGCAGCAGUAGCUGUAGGUCUUCGGGAUGGAUGCAUCAGGUUCUGCUGAGGGCGUCUCGGCCGACAUGCGGCAGAAGUUGAUGCAGACAGUCAGGGCGAGGAGAAAGCAGAGGGCCAAACAAAACAGCAGUGCUGGAGCCCCCGUUACAGGACGUGUGUGUGGUCUGACCUGAUGGAGUUGAGACAGACAAAUCAAUAAAUAGCUUCCUGUGUCUGUAGCUCAUCUACUGGAGCUGUAUCUGUCUGGAUUCUGAGUUCUGGAGUGUGAAGGAGAGGUGCAUCCACAGAGACGACCUGCGUAACAUUCACAAAUAUAAGGCUGCAGAUCCAGGGGUUCAUGGACAGAGGGAAUUGUGGUAAACUGAGAUGCUGGUGCUGCUGUUCUCCCACUGCACACGGUCACUCAGUUAAAGCCUUCCUGUCUCACUGCCCACCUGUCCGGCCGGAUACUGAUGGAUGUUCGACCACCAGGUUCUCCUGUAACCUGUCCUGCCAGACUGAUGGAAGUUUCUGGAAGUCAGGCUUUCCCAUCAGCCACCACAGAUCAGUUUAUGCCCCCUGCCUCUAACUAAUUGCUCACUCUCCACUACAGACAAUACUGAAGCUUACAUGAACUCUAACUAGGUAUUUUUUUUAACUGCUUAUUUAUUAGCCUUGAUAAUACAUGCAAUAGUUAAUGUGAUAGUACAAAUACGUGUGAGUUCCUUCCAAGGUUUCUUCUUCCACCAGCUCUAGACAUCAGACAGUGCCAAUAAUUUAAAAUAUUGGCUGUAGGGGUGGGCAAUAUUAUAUCGUACACAAUAUAUUGUGACACAGAAAUAUCAUGAUAUUAAAAAUCCAUAUUGUGAUAACAGA